rnacentral:tRNA from 1 species
UAAAAUGUAGUAUAAGAAUUACAUAUCAUUUACACUGAUAAAAUUUCUAUUAAAGAACAUUUUAA